GCUAUCUGCAGUCGAGCGACUGAUUAGAAGCUUGCUUCUAUGACGUUAGCGGCGGACGGGUGAGUAACACGUGGGCAACCUGCCUGUAAGACUGGGAUAACUUCGGGAAACCGAAGCUAAUACCGGAUAGGAUCUUCUCCUUCAUGGGAGAUGAUUGAGAGAUGGUUUCGGCUAUCACUUACAGAUGGGCCCGCGGUGCAUUAGCUAGUUGGUGAGGUAACGGCUCACCAAGGCAACGAUGCAUAGCCGACCUGAGAGGGUGAUCGGCCACACUGGGACUGAGACACGGCCCAGACUCCUACGGGAGGCAGCAGUAGGGAAUCUUCCGCAAUGGACGAAAGUCUGACGGAGCAACGCCGCGUGAGUGAUGAAGGCUUUCGGGUCGUAAAACUCUGUUGUUAGGGAAGAACAAGUACGAGAGUAACUGCUCGUACCUUGACGGUACCUAACCAGAAAGCCACGGCUAACUACGUGCCAGCAGCCGCGGUAAUACGUAGGUGGCAAGCGUUAUCCGGAAUUAUUGGGCGUAAAGCGCGCGCAGGCGGUUUCUUAAGUCUGAUGUGAAAGCCCACGGCUCAACCGUGGAGGGUCAUUGGAAACUGGGGAACUUGAGUGCAGAAGAGAAAAGCGGAAUUCCACGUGUAGCGGUGAAAUGCGUAGAGAUGUGGAGGAACACCAGUGGCGAAGGCGGCUUUUUGGUCUGUACCUGACGCUGAAGCGCGAAAGCGUGGGGGAGCAAACAGGAUUAGAUACCCUGGUAGUCCACGCCCGUAAACGAUGAGUGCUAAGUGUUAGAAGGGUUUCCGCCCUUUUAGUGCUGCAGCUAACGCAUUUAAGCACUUCCGCCUGGG
rnacentral:rRNA from 1 species